GACUCCAUGAAGCUGGAUUCGCUAGUAAUCGCGCAUCAGCCACGGCGCGGUGAAUACGUUCCCGGGCCUUGUACACACCGCCCGUCAAGCCAUGAGAGUUGGCAAUACCCAACGUACGUGAUCUAACCCGCAAGGGAGGAAGCGUCCUAAGGUAGGGUCAGCGAUUGGGGUGAAGUCGUAACAAGGUAAC
rnacentral:rRNA from 1 species